CAAAAAGGGCUCACCCACCUUUCUGAGGUAUGACAGAGUACAAUAGUAUGGUACAAGUGCAAGAAGGUUAAGGCAGUAGUAGCUUUAAAUUCAAAGUGCAACUUUUCUGAAAUGAUCUUUUCCAUCCGUUUCAGGUCGGACACAGUGCAUUUACAUUGGCUGAUGCGGAUGAUCUCGGGAGCAGCGGGGAUGUUGCAUUCCUCCUCCACGACACGGGCGGCCAGCUGGAUGCAGCAAACUCCAAUGCAAGACAAGUGCUUUGGCUUCACCUGAAAAAGCACAGGAAGCACUGUCGCAGCUCUUGGAAAAUGCAACGUUAACACCUACGAAUGAAAGCAGAGUUAAAACAAAAGGCAAGCGGCGUAUAAGGAGGAAAGAAUUAACUUUUCGCAGGUUUGCGUACAGCCUGGUGUGGCAGAGUUUUUUGGGAUGCGCACUUCCAAGCUUCCCAUCCCCGUGGAGUGAAUCCAAGGCUCGGUGUGUCAGGAAGGAGAUGGUGGGUCGGCCACUAAGUCAGAGGCUGCAUCAAAGACCUUCUCAGCCUGCAGCUUGACCAGAUAAAACAAAAACCCCAUCGUCUGGAGGAUUUGUGGGGCUGCCCCAACGUGCUCGUGGAUAAACACAAAGGGAUAGAUGUCCUAGGACAGACCCAAACCACAGCGACUGGCUGUGUGUACACACUGGAGACAAAAGCCUGUGGAGGCGGCUCCAGCAGAUUAGGACUGGGUUUGAUCUAGUGAGGUUCCACAGCUCCAACAAACAGAAACUGUUUAUGAAAUGUCUCGGUCUGGAAAAGCAAAUCCGCCUUCUCCACCGAGCCGUCAGCAGCAUUCCCCUGCCAAGCGCUAUUUCGAGGCACAGUCCCUGUCUGCUCUGCCAGCGAUGACGGCCAACGCUUCCUUCAAGUUUAUUUGGAUGCCAAGCGCUCCAAGAUUCCCGUAAACACGCGCGACUUCUCCUCAGGGUAAUUCCUGACGGGGGCCAGCGCUCCUGUAGGUACCACCAGCUGCACCCGAGCAUCCCUCCCAUCACACGGUGAACGAACCGGCGCACCAGAUGAUUUCUGGGGGGGGACACACAAAAGCCAUUGUAGCUUCUGAAGUGGGAGCUGUGGAUCUGCUCCAGUUUGAAAAAUGGUUAACAAUUGUGAGUGGAACCAGCUUCCAACUGGUUCCAUGCAGUGACAUCAUCCAGGUGACAUUUACAGGAUGAGGCUCUCGGCUCCAGUCUCUGUUCUCCAAAUGCCCUGGGCGGUCACUCCUUUUAUUUCUCCCCCACAUUCUGAAGUGUACUUUGCCGCCACAGAAACGGAACAUGGCUGUUCGUCCUCCUCCAACAUAGUGGAACAUAAGUUCCAGUUUACCUAAAGGACAGAAAAGGUUCAUUUUGCAAGCACAGAGCAUGACAGCUCUAAAAAUACCAAUUCAGACACCUACUUGAACACAUGCAUUCCUUUCCCUUUACUAAUUUAAACCUAAUAGAACACACUGAAAAAUUAUCCUUCAAUACAUCACGUAACCUGAGGGGGGAAAUCUCUUAUCAGAGCAUGGCUCACUUCCCAAAGCUGGGAGAGAAGGAUCCCUGCCUCAUCUUUGUUCCUCGGUGAUUAACUCAUUUGUUGCAAACAGGUGAGUAGGAUCGAGAAAAAAACCCACCGAACCCCAAGGAUCCUUAUCGUAAGUGAUGGACUCCAGCUUUGGGAUUAAAAACAGGCAAAAGGAGUCUGCUCCCUGUGCUGUCUGGACCUGGCAGAACAAUGGAGUGUUGUGGGCAAAGGAGGAGUCGUGGUGAGCUAAUACUGCCAGAUGCACAAGCCCAUUUUCUGCAGGAGGACGUUGCAGGCAGAGUUUGAUGGGCAGCUGGAGCUGCAGCCCCAGUCCCGCUCCCCCUAACACUGUUGUGCAGCGAAGGGAAUCUCUGAGAAGCCAAGAGAAUGACAUCAAACGGCGAUAAUUUGCCUUCAGUGCAAGUUAAAUUGUCUGAAAGGCAGCUGUGUGUUUCAAUAGCCUUGUGCUUGUCCAAGCAUGACCACAGAACCAGCAGUUUGCUCAGAGGUCUCCUUUCAUAACCAUUUGUUACUGGAAGACAAUACAAACACAGACUGUCACAGAUGGAAGGUUUUUUCCAACUGUAAAUGCAAGUAAUUGAGUCUGGAGAAGUGGUUAUUCCUACUCAAAUACUAGAAGCUGGAGUACUGGAAUUCUUGUGGAGUCUGCUUAUCUUAUUCCUGUGCCAGUAAGGAAUAUUCCAUUCCCCCCCCCUUGCUUUCUAAAUGACUACCUUUAGUCAUUUCAUGUCCCUUGGUGCAUAAUGUCCUUAUUUCCCAAUAAUUUUAUACUUUGUUGCACGAGAGGAAAAUUGCCCUGUGCUGGUGUGAACAGAGAGGUACAAAUUUCCACGCCCAGUCCCACAGAUGUUUUCCAAGGAACAGCUGCAAGAGCAUUUCCAGCAUAGUUGUGUCUUAAGCUACCGUAUCCAGGCACGUUUCACUAACAUCCCCUUGACACUUGCCAGAAGAGCUAAUUCAGAUACACUUUCUCAGAUGCACCCUCAGUGAACACGAUCCUGAUCCACAUGGAAAAGUGAAAAUCACUGUUACAGGGCGGCAAAGGAUCCACGGGAAAAGGCACAGCUACAAGUGGCACAGCAACACCACACACUGGGCAAGGUUAUGACCUCCUGCAGUGCUGAUAUCAACUCCCCAGGACAUAAACUACCCACUUAUUAACGAUGAUGUCUACAGUGCAGUAUAACCACAGUCAGCUGAUUAAAAGCAACGGAGAAAAGGAAGGAAUUUUGAUGUUCUGGAAGGGAAAAGUGGAAGAAAACCUGUAUAUUAAUUGACACCCCCGUGUCAUCCACGCUCCCAAUACUAAAAGGUAAAAUGGGGAAUGCUGUUGAGGAGGAGGCACAUUGCUAUCUGCUGUUGGUGCUCCUGCAUGCUGUGACAGCCAUUUCUGACUAAUCAUCUAUUUUCUAGGAAGAAUGCUGGAUUUACAGGCUGAACAAUCCCAAUGCACAUGGACACCUCCUGUCCAGCCUCUCAUCCACUAGCACCCCCAAGUCCUUCUCGUCAGGGCGAGAUCCCUUUUCCACAUUUCAGUUUUUGGCUGUGAACCCCUGCAACCAAAGUGUUCUCCCUUGGCUGACAUGGCCCUUGGGAGUCCUUACACUGCUCCAAGACAUCCAGUUUUUGUCCAGGGCAUCAAGUCCAACGCAGAACACCUGCCUGCCGUUGGACAGUGGCCGUGCUCCAGGUGUGCCUCAUUGCAAUCACCAAGGUCAUUUCUUUUCUCUAGGUUCAAUGUUGCCUCUUUCGGUCUCUCCCUGGACAAACACACGGAAUUCUUGCUGGCUGCCUCUCUCUCUUUCCCAGCAGUGUCUCUCUAAAUCCCUUGGUUGUGGUGACUGCCACAAACCACCAGUGGGAUCUUGGAAAACUGCCACAGCUUUACAGACUUCUUAAACGCCGACCCUUAAGCAACGAGUCGCAGAAGAAUUAGAAUGGAAUUGUGAAAGCGAGAUAAAAUUCUGGUGGGACUUGCCCUUCUCUGCACCUUCUCAGUCUGAAAAGUCAAGAUGAAAAUUAAUAGAAAUGGAAGGGAGCAGCACAUGGCAGGCUUGGAUUCCAAGAGCAGUUCACCCUAUGCAUAGAGGGGUUGCCGCAGCAAAAAUAGCCCUUCAUUUCAGCCUUACAAGUUACUAGGGAAAGGGUUAAAAAAAGCCUGUGACAGAUGAAUUUUUAGCAAACCGAUUCAGAGUUAAU